CAGCACCUCGGGGGUGUGCAGUGCUUUCCCUUCAUAGAACUUCAGGCACUUCACAGGCAUUUUCUUUCUAAACCUCACAACAUCUCUCAAAGGACAAGUGCUUUGUAAGAGUUGGAGUUAAGAUAAAUACCCAGUUGUAACCCAGAUGAGGAGAACAGAAAUGGAGCAAUUGCAGUUGAAGAUUAGCUUUGGAUACAUUUUCUGGUGGUCACUGAAAUUCUUUACAUCAAAACCUGUUAAAGAUAAAGAAGACAAUAAAUGAUCGUGUAUUCUUUUAGAGAGGCAAUGUCAUUUGCCCAGAAGGGGGAGCUCUCAGUCCGCAUGCAGCAGAGCAGAGCAGACAGUCUAGUAUCUUAUCUGCUGCUUGGAAAUUGUCUGACAGGAAAAUAUCAACACAAACCAUGCGAUUUGCCGCUGGAGCACGCUGGACCUCAUCUGCUUAAA